UCUUGAGAUAGCGCAACCUGGCUGGAAUUCCGAUAUUUAUUUCUGGCCACGUAAAUAUCCUCACAAUAUCCCAAUACCAACAAGCCCCGACAGAAAAUUGUCUGGAUACUUAGUAUUUAGUUUUAUGCUUUCAUGGGAUGGUAAAAGAUUUGUUCAUCCAGUUUGCAGCGAUGGUUACGAGCUAAG